CCUACGGGGGGCUGCAGUGAGGAAUAUUGGUCAAUGGACGGAAGUCUGAACCAGCCAUGCCGCGUGAAGGAUGAAGGCGUUUGCGUUGUAAACUUCUUUUAUUAGAGAAGCGGUAUCUGAUGAAUAAGCACCGGCUAACUCCGUGCCAGCAGCCGCGGUAAUACGGAGGGUGCAAGCGUUAUCCGGAUUUACUGGGUUUAAAGGGUGCGUAGGCGGACUUGUAAGUCAAGGGUGAAAUCUCCGAGCUCAACUCGGAAACUGCCUUUGAUACUAUUGGUCUUGAAUUAUGUUGAGGUUGGCGGAAUAUAACAUGUAGCGGUGAAAUGCAUAGAUAUGUUAUAGAACACCGAUUGCGAAGGCAGCUGGCUAACAAUAUUGACGCUGAGGCACGAAAGCGUGGGUAGCGAACAGGAUUAGAUACCCUUGUAGUC
rnacentral:rRNA from 1 species